UGGUAUGUGGUUGUCCCUUCAAUUCAAGGCCAAGCUCCAUUUCAUAUAUAUAUAUAUUUUCUUUAUAGCAAAGACUAUCCGACAAUUUGUCCAGUUUUGGUGUUUAAACAAAUAUAAAUUUAUUGCUUGAUUCCCUUACUUCCAUGUGAUGUUCACUAUUGUAAUGUGCUAUAAACGAACCAAAAUGCCUUUUUACACUUACUAAACAUCCCCCACUUAGCUUAACUCUGCAGGAAAAAAAAGUAAUAAAAGAUAUCAGAAUUUUAACACAAAUCAAAAUAGUUGGC
rnacentral:lncRNA from 1 species